AGUCUGGCUACAGGUUGACUGGCAGCUCUAGACUCCAAGCCUUGUCCCCUGAGUUCUUCCCUCGGAUGUCCGACAGCCCAGAGCCUGCAUGCGCCGUGGGGCGCCCCAGGACCUGGAGCUGGUGGGUCCGGGGUCCUCUGGGCGGGGGUCCCGGGGCGCCCCUCCUCCUUCGGGACCCGUCGUCCCGGUCCUCGUCUUUCCCCCGGAUCUAGUAUUCAGGGCGGACCAAAGGAGCGGACCCCGGCAGCUGCUGACACUCUAUAACCCCACAGGAACUGCGCUUCGCUUCCGAGUUCUGUGCACAGCACCUGCCAAAUACACGGUGUUUGACGCAGAAGGAUAUGUAAGAUCUCAGUCCUGCAUUGACAUUGUGAUUCGCCACGUGGCCCCCAUUCCCAGUCAUUAUGAUGUCCAGGAUCGCUUCCGCAUUGAGCUGUCUGAGGAGGGCGCUGAGGGCCGAGUGGUGGGACGCAAGGACAUCACAUCAGUUCUGCGGGCUCCAGCAUACCCCCUUGAGCUUCAGGGACACCCUGAGCCAACACCCCAGCCAGGACCUCCUGCCUGGACAACACCACCUAUGGCCAGACACUUCCAGGAGAAUCCUCGUCAACAGCUGGCCACCAGCUCCUUCGUCCUCUUCUUGCUGACUGGCAUCAUCUCUGUGGCCUUCCUGCUGCUUCCACUCCAGGACACUCCUGGCAGCCAGCUGCCACAGGUCCUGCAUGUUUCCCUGGGACAGAAGUUGGUGGCAGCUUAUGUAUUAGGCCUCCUCACCAUGGUGUUCCUCCGGCCCUGAGUGCCCCGCUCAACCUCACACCAGCCUCUCCUCACCGGCAGGGACCCGAGGCAGCCACUGUGAUGCUCCUAACCUUGCCUCACCUGUCUUCUCCUUCCUGCCCAACCCUUAAUGUCCCCUCAAAAUACCCAGGGAUUUGUAUUCAUUUUCCAAUUUGAAUAAAAUAAAUUUUUAAAAU